GACGAACGCUGGCGGCGUGCUUAACACAUGCAAGUCACGGGGGGUAGCAAUACCAACCGGCGAACGGGUGCGUAACACGUGAGCAAUCUGCCUAGAUGUGGGGGAUAGCCGGCCCAACGGCCGGGUAAUACCGCAUACGUUUCUUGAGGGGAGUCCCUUGGGAAGCAAACCUCCGGGGCAUCUAGAGGAGCUCGCGGCCUAUCAGCUAGUUGGCGAGGUAACGGCUCACCAAGGCGACGACGGGUAGCUGGUCUGAGAGGAUGGCCAGCCACAUUGGGACUGAGAGACGGCCCAGACUCCUACGGGAGGCAGCAGUGGGGAAUCUUGCGCAAUGGCCGAAAGGCUGACGCAGCGACGCCGCGUGUGGGAUGAAGCAUUUCGGUGUGUAAA
rnacentral:rRNA from 1 species